AGCUUCGCACAGUGCCAGCAUCGCAGCCAAUGAGGUUUAUCCGAGGAGCAAUUAUUGCUAAUUGAAAACUUUUCCCAAUACUCUGCCAUGACGACUUGAAAUAUAGUCAGCAUUGGCAAUUUUUGACAGUCUCUAUGGAGG
ensembl:snRNA U4 U4 spliceosomal RNA